UUGGAGGGCAAGUCUGGUGCCAGCAGCCGCGGUAAUUCCAGCUCCAAUAGCGUAUAUUAAAGUUGUUGCAGUUAAAGAGCUCGUAGUUGAAUUUCGGGACUAGUACGUCGGUCGUGCCUUAGGUACGUACUGGUGUUACUGGUUCCUACCUUCUGACGAACCAUCAUGUCAUUAAUUUGGUGUGGUGGGGAAUCAGGACUGUUACUUUGAAAAAAUUAGAGUGUUUAAAGCAGGCUCGCGCUUGAAUACAUUAGCAUGGAAUAAUGAAAUAGG
rnacentral:rRNA from 1 species